GUCCCCAUCGUCUAGCCAGGCCUAGGACACCGGCCUUUCACGCCGGCGACGGGGGUUCGAAUCCCCCUGGGGACGCCA
rnacentral:tRNA from 2 species